GGCGAGUGGCGGACGGGUGAGGAAUACAUCGGAAUCUACUUUUUCGUGGGGGAUAACGUAGGGAAACUUACGCUAAUACCGCAUACGACCUACGGGUGAAAGCAGGGGAUCUUCGGACCUUGCGCGAUUGAAUGAGCCGAUGUCGGAUUAGCUAGUUGGCGGGGUAAAGGCCCACCAAGGCGACGAUCCGUAGCUGGUCUGAGAGGAUGAUCAGCCACACUGGAACUGAGACACGGUCCAGACUCCUACGGGAGGCAGCAGUGGGGAAUAUUGGACAAUGGGCGCAAGCCUGAUCCAGCCAUACCGCGUGGGUGAAGAAGGCCUUCGGGUUGUAAAGCCCUUUUGUUGGGAAAGAAAUCCAGCUGGCUAAUACCCGGUUGGGAUGACGGUACCCAAAGAAUAAGCACCGGCUAACUUCGUGCCAGCAGCCGCGGUAAUACGAAGGGUGCAAGCGUUACUCGGAAUUACUGGGCGUAAAGCGUGCGUAGGUGGUCGUUUAAGUCCGUUGUGAAAGCCCUGGGCUCAACCUGGGAACUGCAGUGGAUACUGGACGACUAGAGUGUGGUAGAGGGUAGCGGAAUUCCUGGUGUAGCAGUGAAAUGCGUAGAGAUCAGGAGGAACAUCCAUGGCGAAGGCAGCUACCUGGACCAACACUGACACUGAGGCACGAAAGCGUGGGGAGCAAACAGGAUUAGAUANCCUGGUAGUCCACGCCCUAAACGAUGCGAACUGGAUGUUGGGUGCA
rnacentral:rRNA from 1 species